UUGUGGACAAGUGGUUAAUUUGUGUUAUGUCCAUGUGAUCCGUCGUGCCCAACUUAAUUAGCUUCUUUUAUGCACAGUCACACUUUGAGGCUUCUCCAUGUCUUGGUGUACAAUUUUCCUAUAUAACAAUUUGCAUAAAGGAUAGGGAGAUGCCCAAGAAUCCAACAUCAUUCAUUCUUUGUUUUCUUUACUUGUUUUAUUUCAGCAUAAUCUAAACAGGAAUGAGAUGGCCGAAUCAAGUACUCCUAGUGAAAAUGAAAUCUGAAGAAGAGGGCUGGUGCGGCUGCCCUCAAGCCUUGAUUAAUGAAACUGUCGAAUACAAGGGGGGGACAUGGAGCCUAAACCCCUGAUUACAAUAA